GUACUGAUGGUGACCUAGUGUUCCUGUUAGAGCAUGAGACUCUUAAUCUCAAAGUCGUGGGUUCGAACCCCACAUUGGGCA